rnacentral:rRNA from 1 species
GCAGCCUGAUGCAGCGACGCCGCGUGAGGGAUGACGGCCUUCGGGUUGUAAACCUCUUUCAAUAGGGACGAAGCGCAAGUGACGGUACCUAUAGAAGAAGGACCGGCCAACUACGUGCCAGCAGCCGCGGUAAUACGUAGGGUCCGAGCGUUGUCCGGAAUUACUGGGCGUAAAGAGCUCGUAGGUGGUUUGUCGCGUUGUUCGUGAAAACUCACAGCUCAACUGUGGGCGUGCGGGCGAUACGGGCAGACUAGAGUACUGCAGGGGAGACUGGAAUUCCUGGUGUAGCGGUGGAAUGCGCAGAUAUCAGGAGGAACACCGGUGGCGAAGGCGGGUCUCUGGGCAGUAACUGACGCUGAGGAGCGAAAGCGUGGGGAGCGAACAGGAUUAGAUACCCUGGUAGUCCACGCCGUAAACGGUGGGUACUAGGUGUGGGUUUCCUUCCUUGGGAUCCGUGCCGUAGCUAACGCAUUAAGUACCCCGCCUGGGGAGUACGGCCGCAAGGCUAAAACUCAAAGAAAUUGACGGGGGCCCGCACAAGCGGCGGAGCAUGUGGAUUAAUUCGAUGCAACGCGAAGAACCUUACCUGGGUUUGACAUGCACAGGACGCCGGCAGAGAUGUCGGUUCCCUUGUGG